rnacentral:tRNA from 1 species
CGCGAGAUAGAGCAGUUGGCAGCUCGGGAGAUUCAUAACCUCCAGGUCGCAGGUUCGAGUCCUGUUCUCGCUACAA